rnacentral:rRNA from 1 species
AUUGAACGCUGGCGGCAGGCCUAACACAUGCAAGUCGAGCGGAUGAAGGGAACUUGCUCCUGGAUUCAGCGGCGGACGGGUGAGUAAUGCCUAGGAAUCUGCCUGGUAGUGGGGGAUAACGUCCGGAAACGGGCGCUAAUACCGCAUACGUCCUGAGGGAGAAAGUGGGGGAUCUUCGGACCUCACGCUAUCAGAUGAGCCUAGGUCGGAUUAGCUAGUUGGUGGGGUAAAGGCCUACCAAGGCGACGAUCCGUAACUGGUCUGAGAGGAUGAUCAGUCACACUGGAACUGAGACACGGUCCAGACUCCUACGGGAGGCAGCAGUGGGGAAUAUUGGACAAUGGGCGAAAGCCUGGUCCAGCCAUGCCGCGUGUGUGAAGAAGGUCUUCGGAUUGUAAAGCACUUUAAGUUGGGAGGAAGGGCAGUAAGUUAAUACCUUGCUGUUUUGACGUUACCAACAGAAUAAGCACCGGCUAACUUCGUG